rnacentral:lncRNA from 1 species
AGAAUAAAGAUUUCACUGUUAUGAUUAUUCUCCAUCAAGGACUUGGGAAAAGGCACCUCUCAUCCUAGGGAUGAAGAUCUAUAGAGAUAGAUCUAAGAGGCUGCUUAAGUUAUCCCAAUCUACAUACAUAAGGUGUUUGUGAAUAGAAUUUGUUCUAUCAUAUACAUCAUGUACGAGACAGGAUAAGGUAUACUCAUUAGGGCAGUGAGUGGAUACCUGCA